CACCGAAUAACCUGCAGGGAGAGUGAGCCAUGGGCAGGGACGUGGCCCAGCGAAGGGGUCCCCAUCGGAUCCCCACCGGGCUGUCUUCUCCGGGCUUCGACACGCUGCAGCCUCAACAACCACCACACCGUCCUUUUAGUAAGUUUCCACACCGGGCCAUGGGCGGAUCAAGACCGCCCCUCUAAGUGGCUGCGAGCAUAUACGGAAUAAAGCACACUCUGCGGACUUUCAUCUUCGAUAAGGGGAUGCAAAAGCGGGGGACAGAGCCUGCCAGCGCGCCCCCACGGGGGACAGGCCCGCACCGACCGAGCAGAUGACCCCGUCCAGGUGAGCCCAUCCCGCCACGCACUGGGCGGAGUCCCGCGCAGGGAGGCAGAAAAGAAGAUUGUCCUUCAAAAUAAAAGGAGACUCUUCCCCCUGGCCCCAGAUGUCCAAGGACCCUGUUGUAGAUGCUUGAGAUGAAGCAGAAGCAGGAGAUGCUGCUGAGGCCCUGCCCUUAGGGAUCUUAACGACUGGCUGGUCACAAAGCCUUGUCCCCAUUUGAGGAGGAGCAUUAAAUAAUUUAAGCUGGCUUACUUAUUAAAAAUAGGGCUUCCUUGGUGGCUUAGACAGUAAAGAAUCUGCCUACCAAUGCAGGAGACCCGACUUAGAUCCCUGGGUCAGGAAGAUUCCCCUGGAAUAGGAAAUGGCAACCCACUCUAGUAUUCUUGCCUGGAGAAUUCCAUGAACAGAAGAGCCUGGUGGACUACAGUCUGUGGGGUCGCAGAGAGGCAGACACGACUGAGCGGCUAGCACUUACAGUUAAAAGUUGCUUGGGGGGGUAUAUGUAUACUUAGAGCUGAUUCACCUUAUUGUACUGCAGGAAAUAAUAAAAUAUUGUAAAGCAAUUAUCCUUCAAUUAAAAAUAAAUUUUAAAUGGAAUACUACUCAGCCAUAAAAAGGACGGAGUAGGGUCCUUUUUAAAGGACCUUUUAAAAGGGAUUUGCAUCCCUUCUGGUGAGUUAGAUGAACCUGUUAUGCAGCAGGAAGUCAGAGAAAAACAAAUACCCUAUAUUGAUGCACAUUUAUGGAAUCUAGAGAAAUGAUAGUGAUGAACCUGUCGGCAGGACAGGAAUAGAGAUGUAGACAUAGAGAGCAGAUUUAUGAACACAGCUGGGGAAGGAGAGGGUAGGAUGAACUGAGAGAGUAGUAUUGAAACAUACAUUACCAUCUGUAAGACAGAUAGCUAGUGGGAAGCUGCUGUAUGACAUGGGGAGCUCAACCGGAUGCUCUGUGACAACCUAGAAGGGUGGGG
ensembl:lncRNA